UCAGCAACUAGCAUGUAAAACGCGUAUGACUUGUGACAGCAUUGUAUGGUGAUAAAGAAAAUUUUGUGGUUGCGCAUGUGAAAUUUCUUAGCGUUACGUAUGCAUAUUUCACGAAUAACUUUCUGGACAAUUGGUUUUCUUUCGAAAUUUGAAUUUGAAUUGCAUGUAAAGAAUAGCGGAAGUAGCACAACGCAACGGACAUUGUGCAUUACAGCGGAUGCAUUUAAGGCAAAACAAGGAAAUUGUGAGCUGAAAAAUCAAUGAAAUGCUGCAAACUGGCGCAACCGUCAACGGACCAGCAAUAAUGAUGAACCAAUUACCGACGCCCAUGGGUCCGCAAACGCCAACGCAGGCUGCAGCAGAGCAACCCAACAACCAACGGCGCAUUGCGGAACCUCUGCAUAUCCAACGGCUGGAGGCGGCUUUAAAUAUGCGACCUUUCAUGGAACACGCAAAAAAGGUGUUAUCACAACCGCUCAGCAGUGGUGAUGAUUCUAACGCUACAGAAGAAGAACAACAAGGCGCGGGCGUUACGGACAAUUCUGAUGAUGAGGGUGGUGGUGCACGCAAAAAACGCACCCGGCGACUUGGUACCAAAGAAGAGCGCCAAAGUGUCAAAACGCAUUUAUUCAACUUCAAUGACAUUACAAAUGAAAGGGAGUGGCUGUACGACGUGCUGCUCAGCGAUACUGAUACUGAGACGGAAAUAAGUGACGAAGAUGAUUAUGUAAAAGAAUUACUGAAAACACAUAUAUUCGAACAGAGACAUCGCGAAAACUUCUAUAAAAAGACAACGAAUACUCAAUACGCAUAUUACGGUGCUGGUGUGCUCUCCAACCAUGACAUGUUUCCCGAACAUCAACAAUCUAUAGUAGGCGUGCGUAAACGUAGGCGGCGCACUAAGAAGGAGAAGCCCAUAAAACCGCCGAAGUUGCCGAAAGAGCCCAAAAUGCGUAAGCCACGCAAACCAAAAGUCGAACAACCUGAGCCUGGNGAAAUCCCACCGUCCGAAUUGAAUAAUUAUGCCUUUGGUGACACUUCCGCAGUUAAUGAUGAGGAUGACAAUAUAACCGAUGAGUUGGAUAGCACUUUAGAUGCCAACCUAUCACUACUACCACCGAGUGGUGUGCCACAUAGCGGACGUGGACGUCGUCGUAAGAGUCAGCAAGCACGUACACCCGAAGUAAUGGCAGCACGGCGACGNCGUGUCUGGCAAUUGAUGGCCAAAAAGGAGCUUGGUCGCUGUCAGCGCGGCAAGGCCAACAAUCACAANGAAGUGCUGCAAAAUUGCAAACGUGUGGCCACUAUGUGCUCGAAGGUUGUGCGCCAACGCGCUAUGAUUUCACAAAAAGUCAUGAAGGAGACCGUGUGGCGCGCCAAACGACUCACGCGCGAAAUGAUGGGCUACUGGAAGCGCUAUGAGCGUGUGGAGCGCGAUACGCGUCGGCGCAUGGAACGCGAAGCCGAGGAGCAGCGCAAGAUGGAUGUUGAAAUCAUAGAGGCCAAGCGGCAGCAAAGAAAACUAAACUUCCUCAUCACACAAACGGAGCUUUACGCGCAUUUUAUGUCGAAAAAGUUGGGUCAGGGCACUGAAGAGGAGCAACUGCGUAUACUAAAUCAAUUGGAUGAGGAGAUCAAUCCGCGUUUAGCCGCUUACGACGACUAUGAUGCUGAUCACUACAANUCGUUGGCGCAGAAGAACGCUGAACUGGCUUUCUCUGCUGAUCGCGAUAAGACGCGGCGUUUCGAUGUGGCGGCGCAUUUGAAGCAGGAGAACGAGUCUGCAGACAGCAGUGCCAUGGAGAAAAUUAAAAAAGAAGAGGAUGAAACGGAGUCGUCAGUGCCAGUGACACCGGCAAAGGCCGAUGUGCCGCAGCCUGAAAUGUUUAAAGGCACACUCAAGACCUAUCAAAUUAAGGGUGUAACCUGGCUCGCUAAUCUCUAUGANCAGGGCAUUAGCGGCAUACUCGCCGACGAGAUGGGUCUCGGCAAAACUGUGCAGUCAAUUGCAUUUCUUUGCCAUGUGGCCGAGCGCUACGGUGUUUGGGGUCCAUUUCUAAUCAUCUCGCCGGCGUCGACGCUGCACAACUGGCAGCAGGAGAUGCAACGUUUCGUGCCGGACUUCAAUGUCGUGCCCUAUUGGGGUUCGCCGAAUGAGCGCAAAAUUCUGCGUCAAUUUUGGGAGCAAAAGGAUCUGCACACGCGUGACGCCAGCUUUCAUGUGGUCAUCACAUCGUAUCAACUGAUCGUAUCCGACUACAAAUACUUCAAUCGAAUUAAGUGGCAAUACAUGGUGUUGGACGAGGCACAGGCCAUAAAGAGCGCCUCCUCGAUGCGCUGGAAGCUGUUGCUCGGCUUCAAUUGCCGCAAUCGGCUGCUGCUCAGCGGUACGCCCAUACAAAACAGCAUGGCUGAGCUGUGGGCGCUCUUGCAUUUCAUUAUGCCCACACUCUUCGACUCGCACGAUGAGUUCAACGAAUGGUUCUCGAAGGAUAUUGAGUCGCAUGCGGAGAAUAAGACGGGCAUCGAUGAGAAGCAAAUAUCACGUCUGCAUAUGAUACUCAAACCAUUCAUGUUGCGACGCAUCAAAAAGGAUGUGGAGAAUGAGCUCUCCGAUAAGAUUGAGAUUAUGGUCUACUGCCCGCUGACCAUACGNCAGAAACUGCUNUACAUGGCGUUAAAGAAGAAAAUACGCAUCGAGGAUUUGUUGCAUUUCACUGGAGGUGGCGCGGGUAGCGCCGGUGAUGGUCAUCAUUUCGAUAAGAAUUUCACAUCAAAUCUCAUGAACUUGGUCAUGCAGUUCCGUAAGGUAUGCAACCAUCCCGAGCUCUUCGAGCGACGCGACGCGAAAAGUCCGUUUGCCAUGCGCUGUGAGGAGUAUGUGCUGCCGCGUUUGGUCUACUCCGAAUGCUUGCUGCAACGCGCNUUACCCAGCAAGCGGCAUUUGCUGUUCAAUAGUUACUCCAUCUUCAAGGCGGCUUAUAUGCAUAGAACGCUCUUCAGUGAACCGCAUUCCGGUGGUACCAAAAAGACCAGUGAGCACUAUGCGCGCUAUGUGGACUUGAAUGCCAGCGACAGUUGCUGUUUCAGUUUCGCGCGUUUGUGCGAUCUCUCGCCGCGUGAUUUGGAGGAUGUUACCAUCAACGGACUGAUUACCUGCAUACUUCACUAUCGCCGCCGAUUGCUGCAAUAUGCUUUGCUCGCCUACCGCCGUCAAUGGUGGCCACAUCAUAAGUCCACGCGCUUUCAGCUCUUGGAACCGACGNUGGAGCAAUCGCUGCAGCCUAGUUUUAUGUUGCAACAAAGUGUUUUGCGNAAUUUCCUCUUCACUGGUGUGACGAGCCGUGAGAGCACCAUUUAUGCCUUCGGGGGUUACAAAACGGUGAAUAUACAGGAAACGAUCGAACACCGUGUUAUACGCAGCAAACGCAUUGGUGAUCCGACGCAAAAAAUGNNGCACAUGCGUUUCAAUGAAGAUNUGGACAUAAAAACGGAAUAUGAUUUGGAGAGCAGGGUAGACGGCAGCAGCACGCCAGCCAAGUCACAUAAGUCCACAUCGAAGCAUAAAGAUGAUGUCAGUGGCAACGCNAAGUUGCUGCCCGAAUUUCCGCACGUGCCACGCACACCCACCGUAUACCAGUGCGAGGCGCUCGAAAUGCCGCGNUUUCUCUACGGACUCAGUCAGCGCGUACAGGCCGUCAAGCGAAACUUAUAUUGUGAGAGCCGCGACGCUGCUUGGGCUCAAAUACGCCACCUACAGUGUGAGAACGCCGUAGGUUUGCAGUUGGUAAACACUGCGCUGGAGCUGUGUCGCCCGCGCUAUGGCUGGUCGUCGAUUGUUGUGCCGGAUAAGCAAACGCUCGUGUCCGAUGCCGGCAAACUGGCGGUGCUGGAUAGCUUGNUGACGCGCCUCAAAGCGCAGGGUCACCGUGUGCUUAUCUACUCACAAAUGACGAAAAUGAUUGAUUUGUUGGAGGAGUACAUGUGGCAUCGCAAACACCGCUACAUGCGCCUGGAUGGUUCGAGUAAGAUUUCGGCGCGUCGUGACAUGGUGGCCGAUUUCCAGACGAGAGAAGAUAUUUUUGUUUUUCUACUAUCCACACGCGCUGGCGGUUUGGGUAUUAAUUUAACGGCAGCGGAUACGGUGAUUUUCUAUGACUCCGACUGGAAUCCGACCGUCGAUCAACAGGCUAUGGAUCGUGCGCAUCGCCUUGGACAAACCAAACAGGUGACCGUUUACCGACUAAUCUGCAAGGGCACCAUUGAAGAGCGCAUCUUGCAGCGUGCACGCGAGAAGAGCGAGAUUCAACGUAUGGUCAUAAGUGGUGGCAACUUCAAACCCGACACUCUCAAGCCAAAGGAAGUGGUCUCAUUGUUGCUGGAUGAUGAAGAAAUUGAACUGAAGUAUCGCCAAAAAGUUGGUCCGGAUGCACCGUCCACCAGCCAAAAUAGAGAUGUACCCGGUGUAAGCAACGAUAAGAAACGCCAACGCAAUCCAAAUAAGCAAUCGCAACCAGGUGGCAUCACCAUACCGGCAACAGGUAGCGGCAUUGAAUCCGGCAUACGUGGCGACUCACCGGCCAUGAAGCGCCCGAAACUGGAUGCCAGCGGCACAAAUGAUGAUGACUCCAUCGAUGUGGCUGCCACAUCGGGCACCUCGAGUCCGAGCACCAGCGCUGCCACAGCAACGGGCGGCAAUAUGGAACCAUUUGUGCCCGGCGCCACCACCGUUAUGCACCACGACGACUCCGAUAACGAGGCGCUGAUCGUGGACUGCGAGAGUCCGUUGCAUGGUGCCGAAUCGCCCAGGCAAAAGAAUCUCAAUUUCAUAUCUGAUGGCAUGAUGUGCUGUAUGCAACAACAAAAGCAGCAACAAUCAAGUCAAAGCAAAUGCGACACCCAAACAAAUCUGCAAGCAAAAUCGGAGCUCAAGAUCGCUCAAGUGGCAUGCCACCACCGGCAUCGCAAGCGCAGCAAUGCAAGUGUCAGCGCUGCUGGCGGACACCCAUAANAUCCAUACUGCAACAACAAGAACCAUGCAACGUGCUUGUUACCACAAAGGUUGCAGCUGAAAACGAAAACAGCAAUAACAACAACAACCAACAUAAAAGCAAUAUGACAACGCUAAUACCGAC
rnacentral:misc_RNA from 1 species